CAGGCCUCACUAGCCAAUCAGGCCCUCCAGGAACCUACCAAUCAGAAGUUGUGCAGGGUCCUUCCGGCCGCGGGCUUCGGGCUUGGCUUUGAAGAGAAGCCGGGGCCUUUCAUUUGGUGUGCUGUGUUAUGAAUGCUGCAGAGAGCUGAGCAGGGAACAUGGAUGAGCUGGAAAAUCUUGACAUGAAUUCAGUGACCUAUGAUGAUGUGCAUGUUGACUUCACUAAAGAAGAGUGGGCUUUGCUGAAUCCUUCCCAGAAGUAUCUCUACAAAAAUGUGAUGCUGGAGACUUACAGGAACCUCACUAUUAUAGGAUACAGUUGGGAAGACCAUAAUAUUGAAGAACAUUAUCAAAGUUCUAGAAGAUAUGGAAGGCAUGAAAGAAGCCAAACUGGAGAGAAACCUUCUGUAUAUACUCAAUGUGCCUUUGCAUAUGAUAGUCAGCUUCAAAGUCAUGAAAGAAUGCAUACUGGAGAGAAACCCCAUGAAUGUAAUCAGUGUGGUAAAGUCUUUGUACAGCACAGUCAUCUUCGAAGACAUCAAAGAAUACAUACUGGAGAGAAACCCCAUGAAUGUAAUCAGUGUGGUAAAGCCUUUGCACAGCACAGUCAUCUUCAAAGGCAUCAAAGAACACAUACUGGAGAGAAACCCUAUGAAUGUAAUCACUGUGGUAAAGCCUUUGCACGUCUUAGUACUCUUCAAGUGCAUAAAAGAACACAUACUGGAGAGAAACCCUAUGAAUGCAAUCAGUGUGGUAAAGCCUUUGCUUAUCACAAUACUCUUCAAAUGCAUGAAAGAACAUAUACUGGAGAGAAACCCUAUGAAUGUGAUCAGUGUGGUAAAGCCUUUGCAUGUUACAGUUAUCUUCGAAAGCAUAAAGGAACACACACUGGAGAGAAACCCUAUGAAUGUAGUCAAUGUGGUAAAGCCUUUGCACAACAAAGCAGUCUUCAAAUGCAUAAAAGAGCACAUACUGGAGAGAAACCCUAUGAAUGUAGUCAAUGUGGUAAAGCCUUUGCACAGCACAGUCAUCUUCAAAUGCAUAAAAGAACACACACUGGAGAGAAACCCUAUGAAUGUAAUCAAUGUGGUAAAGCCUUUGCACAAUAUAGUAAUCUUCAAGUGCAUACAAGAACACAUACUGGAGAGAAACCCUAUGAAUGUAAUCAGUGUGGUAAAGCCUUUGCACAUCACACUCAUCUUCAAAUGCAUACAAAAACACAUACUGGAGAGAAACCCUAUGAAUGUAAUCAAUGUGGUAAAGUCUUUGCACGUCACAGUAAUCUUCAAAUGCAUAAAAGAGCACAUACUGGAGAGAGACCCUAUGAAUGUGAUCAGUGUGGUAAAGCCUUUGCACGUCACGGUACUCUUCAAAUACAUAAAAGAACACACACUGGAGAGAAACCCUAUGAAUGUAACCAAUGUGGUAAAGCCUUUGCACGUAAGAGUAAUCUUUUAAAGCAUAAAAGAACACAUACUAGAGAGAAACCCUAUGAAUGUAAUCAGUACGAUCCCUUCACAGCUGUAGCUAUAUCCUGACCUCUGAGUCAGGGUACAUUUCUCUCCAAAGCUGUAACACUUGCACUAUGAAAUGUUAGACCCUUGAAUCUUGUAGCAGGAAUUACAGAAAGUUGUCAAAAAUCUUACCUUGAUCCUGGGAAUGAACAUUUCUUAACUGCCCAGCCAUGUCUCUAGUGCUUUAAAUAUUUUAAAGCCUAUUUAUAUCAUUUUGAAGUCAGAAAAUGGGAACAAACUCACACAAGAGAAAAACCUUAUUUAUAUAAAUGAUUUGGUAAAGACUUUAGACAUCACAGUUAUCUUCAUCUUCAAAAAAAAUCACAUUUCAUUUAUUUUUCAUCGUAGCCUUGAAGGAAGUAAAUUGCUUACCAUGUUCACUGAAGACUGAUGGAAAUCACUGCAUUGUGGUUUCUAUUUUGAAACAUCUGAGGUCUCCAGAAGAGGCGCUACCAACGUCAAGAAUAAUCUGAAGUGAAGGAAUCUAAUACACCAAGCUCUUUCAUUCAUCCACUUUAUUCCUCUGUAACAAAGUUCUGCCAUUCCUCUUGGGUCACCAGUCUACAAACUCACCAGCAGCCACUCUUCUACAAUACAGUGCAAAAUCUUUCAAGGUCCCCACAAGAACAGUGAGAGUCAGCUUCAUUUGCAAACCAAAAGAGGCGUGAAUAAAGGAGAAGUAGGGUCAGAUAAGGCCUAAAGUAAGUCCAAAAGAUAAUUUAUAUGCUCAAAAUAUGUCCCUAGAAGUGGUUAGGUGAAACAUUAUGAGUCCAUCAUAAAUGUGCUCAAACUACAGUCUUACAGAUGGUGAGGUAAGAGAGUCUAUGAUUCACUAAAAUAAAACUGCCUUUAUUUUCCUAUGUCACCAUUUUCUGGCAGGGCAGGGAAAGGAUACUUGAUAGCUAGGUAACUUGCAUCAGAGCUUGAAGCACCUGGUAAGAAGUAAACCCCUUUGUUCUAAGUAAGUUGUCCUGUGGUGCCACUUGGGGUGUGAGAGAAAGUGAGGUCUGAGUUUAAUUUGCACAAGAAGCAAAGCUAUGUGUGUAACAUCUGCCUGGCCAAGGUAGUGUCUUCAUAUGGGUGUUUACUUUAAUUCAGGGGCCUCAGGGGCCUAGCAGGUUUGUCAUUUGUCCUUGGAUCCUGUCUGGAGUUGUCCCUGACUUUGUGUAGCAGGAAUCUUAAAAAGUUCUUAUUAAUAAGAACAAACCUGGAGCCAGGUAUUGGGGUGAACCCUGG